rnacentral:rRNA from 1 species
GUUCGGAAUUACUGGGCGUAAAGCGCGCGUAGGCGGACUGGAAAGUUGGGGGUGAAAUCCCAGGGCUCAACCCUGGAACUGCCUCCAAAACUAUCAGUCUAGAGUGUGGUAGAGGUGAGUGGAAUUUCAGGUGUAGCGGUGAAAUGCGUAGAGAUCUGAAGGAACAUCAGUGGCGAAGGCGGCUCACUGGGCCAUUACUGACGCUGAGGUGCGAAAGCGUGGGUAGCAAACAGGAUUAGAUACCCUGGUAGUCCACGCCCUAAACGAUGUCAACUAGGUGUAUGGAAUGUAUUUUCUGUGUAUCGAAGCUAACGCGAUAAGUUGACCGCCUGGGGAGUACGGUCGCAAGAUUAAAACUCAAAUGAAUUGACGGGGGCCCGCACAAGCGGUGGAGCAUGUGGUUUAAUUCGAUGCAACGCGAAGAACCUUACCUGGCCUUGACAUGUACGGAAGAUAGAAGAGAUUUUAUUGUGCCUUCGGGAACCGUAACACAGGUGCUGCAUGGCU